UACGGAGGGCGCAAGCGUUGUUCGGAAUCAUUGGGCGUAAAGCGCGUGUAGGCGGUUUGGUAAGUCGGGUGUGAAAUCCCGGGGCUUAACCCCGGAACUGCAUUCGAAACUGCCUGGAUAGAGUCCCGGAGGGGAGGGCGGAAGUCCCGGUGUAGAGGUGAAAUUCGUAGAUAUCGGGAGGAACACCAGCGGCGAAGGCGGCCCUCUGGACGGUGACUGACGCUGAGACGCGAAAGCGUGGGGAGCAAACAGG
rnacentral:rRNA from 1 species